rnacentral:tRNA from 1 species
GGUUAUGGCUCAGUGGUAAAGCAUUUGCUUCACCUGUAUGAGGCCCUGGGUUCCAUUCUCAGCACCA